rnacentral:rRNA from 1 species
ACGCCUUCAUGGGCAUAUGAUUGCUUGGAAUGUGACCCCAGGACGGGCGAGGAUACCCGCCG